GGAAGGUUGGCAGAGUGGUCUAAUGCACCGGUCUUGAAAACCGGCGUGCCGGCAACGGCGCCGUGAGUUCGAAUCUCACACCUUCCGCCA
rnacentral:tRNA from 2 species